rnacentral:rRNA from 1 species
UACGUAGGCAGCGAGCGUUGUUCGGAGUUACUGGGCGUAAAGGGUGUGUAGGCGGUCGUUUAAGUUUGGUGUGAAAUCUCCCGACCCAACUGAAAAGAUGCGCCGAAUACUGAAUGACUUGGAGUGCGAGAAAGGAGAGUGGAAUUCCUAGUAUAGCGGUGAAAUGCGUAGAUAUCAGGAGGAACACCAGUAGUGUAGACGGCUCUCUGGACCGUAACUGACGCUGAGACACGAAAGCGUGGAUAGCAAACAAG